ACAAGCGGUGGAGUAUGUGGUUUAAUUCGAUGCAACGCGAAGAACCUUACCUGGUCUUGACAUCCCGGAGACCCUUAGGAAACUAGGGGUGCUUCCAUCUGGAGAAUCUGGAGACAGGUGCUGCAUGGCUGUCGUCAGCUCGUGUCGUGAGAUGUUGGGUUAAGUCCCGCAACGAGCGCAACCCUUGCCUUUAGUUGCCAGCAGUUCGGCUGGGCACUCUAAAGGGACUGCCGGUGUUAAACCGGAGGAAGGUGGGGAUGACGUCAAGUCCUCAUGGCCUUUAUGACCAGGGCUACACACGUACUACAAUGGCCGAUACAAAGGGCAGCGACACUGCGAGGUGAAGCCAAUCCCGUAAAAUCGGUCUCAGUCCGGAUUGGAGUCUGCAACUCGACUCCAUGAAGUUGGAAUCGCUAGUAAUCGUGGAUCAGCAUGCCACGGUGAAUACGUUCCCGGGCCUU
rnacentral:rRNA from 1 species